rnacentral:lncRNA from 1 species
GGCCUUUCUAGGAGCCAGCUUGCUUUCAUCUUACUGUUUUGAUUGUGCCUCACAAGGGACAACACUCCGAUUGUCUAGGAGGAGGAAGGUCAGGGACAGAAAAGUAAAAGCCAGGAGCAGCCUGUCCUGUCUGCCUGGGCUGCUGGGGAAUGAUUGUCAGUGAAUCGAGUUGUCUGUGGAGCCCCUGAGCAAAUUCUCCCAGUGGCAGAUCUCGCAAAAGGGGAGGAAGGCCUUCACCGCUGAACCCGAGCUUUGCCAUUUCGAAGUGCUGAGUCACCUCGUCCUCUCAGGGUCAGACACUUUCACGCAGGAAACGUCCUGCAGAGCACCGCAGCGGGAGCACCGAGCUGACCUGGAAGGAGAGAACAAGGGCCUUCCUGAGGCAGGACAAGGACCCAGAACUACCCAGAAUGCAGCAGGGCGGCCCCGCACGACUGAGCUCUGAUCCUAACCUGCAAAGUGAAGUUUCAAUUUCCACUUCCUGAGAAGGUCAGGUGUAUAGGUGUGAACCAAGUGCACGUCUAGUUCCCUUGGAGGCCAGAAAGAAGGCGGUGUCAGAUCCCCAGGAACCAUAGUUACAGAUGGUUGAUGUGGAAACUCAGAGAGGAUGCCACUGUUUUGAACUAUUUUGAAGGCACAGCCACCAGAGCUUUAGGGACAGGGUAUUUUAUCACAGCAACAGAAAUGAAACCAAAACAACUCCACAAUAAAAUUCUUGAGUUUCUUGGGGCCAAGAAGAUGACACGAUAAGAUAAAGACACUGGCCAAGCAUGACCUCCAGAGUUUGGCCCUUGCAUAAAGGAGAAAAUUAAUUCCUUCAGUUGUUCUCUGACCUCCACAUGCGUCCUGUAACAUGGGUGUAUGCAUACACAUAAACACACAUCCACACGUUGUUAAAUAAAUAAAAAAAAUAUGUUAACA